rnacentral:snoRNA from 1 species
GCCCUGUGGUUACUGGACACUGGUUUGUGUAUACAGUGCUUCAGUUAGUAGAAAUGGGCCAAAAGUGAUAUACUGCGAUUUUUGCAUGGAAUCUGUGAUAUGUGAGCAGCUUCCAUAGCCCGGUCACAGUKACAGAG